GAGUUUGCUCAGUGUCAGUACCAUAGCCAAUGAGGUUUAUCCAAGGCAUGAUUAUUGUUAAUUGAAAAUGUUAAUAUUUGAGAAUUCUGGGUAAAAGCUAUACUCUUUGGUUAUUCUUGAAAUAUUUUUGCAAAU
ensembl:snRNA U4 U4 spliceosomal RNA